GAGAACUGAGAGUUAUAUUGAUGUAAAUUGUGAGUGAAACCUACAAAAAAAGUCCUAAAAUUAUGGGGUGACCAUCCGUUUAGGACCCUCUGAUGCUUAAGUCAGUCGAGGUCUUGAAAACAGAUAGUAAAGAUGAAGAAGUAAAAAGCAAGAAGUGAGAGUUUAAGUCAAAAAAAGAUAGAGAAAACUCUGAUUUUCUUUGAGAAAUCUAGCAGAGUUUUAUCUCUAUUCACUCAGACUUGACUUAUCUUUCGGAGAGCAUCUUGUCUCUCUUUUAUAGAGGGAGCUCACUUAGACCUUAAGUUGUUAGACUGUUAGAGAUCUGUUAGGCUAUUAGAUCGUUGGAGAUCUGUUAGACCGUUAGGUUAUUGUAACAGAAUGGUCAACUAUGCAG
rnacentral:lncRNA from 1 species